GCAAUUCUUAAUUCAUGACCUGAACAAAUCCCUGUGUAGGCUGACAUAUUUGAAGACAAUACAGACCGCUCAAGAUCGGCUUCUUUAGAUCAUUGCUUAAAACUAGAUUAUGAAUUUCAUCUUGUAUUGAGCUGUAAAACGUGUUUGCUUUCCAAUUGUAAAAUUUUAUUUUAAAACUCUAAACCUUUAAAUAUUUCCGUUAGUGUAAAUUCAAAUUAUUGAUUUUUAGACCAUUAUUUUUAUUUUUUUUGCUCUGUAAUGUAUUGGAGUACAAAAGUUUGGGAUAUGAUGCAAUAUUUGAAAUUUGCAUCAGUGUUUCAUUUAUUGGAACUAAUUUUGUUAAAGGUGACCUUUACAUGCUAGUUUAUAACUGUUAAAAACUUGGGGUGUGUGUGUGUGUGUUUUACUAUGAUGUAGAUUGGCUUUUUAGUCUUUUCAAAUGUGUGUGAAUUGAGAGCAAG